AUUGAACGCUGGCGGCAGGCCUAACACAUGCAAGUCGGGCGAGCUGCGGACGGGUGAGUAAUGUAUGGGGAUCUGUCUGAUGGAGGGGUAUAACUACUGGAAACGGUAGCUAAUACCGCAUACCAUCAGAUGACUCCAUAUGGGAUUAGCUUGUAGGUAAGGUAACGGCUUACCUAGGCGACGAUCCCUAGCUGGUCGUAGAGGAUGAUCUGCCACACUGGGACUGAUACACGGCCCAGACUCCUGCGUGAGACAGCAGUGGAGCAUAUUGCACGCUGGGCGCAAGCCUGAUGCAGCCAUCCCGCGUGUAUGAAGAAGGCCUUCGUGUUGUAAAGUUCUUUCAGUCGGGAGGCGUUACCGACAGAAGAAGCACCGGCUAACUCCGUGCCAGCAGCAGCGGUAAUAC
rnacentral:rRNA from 1 species